GGCAAGGUGGCCGAGCGGUCUAAGGCGCGCGGUUAAGGCUUCCUAACUCCGAUCCCUCUCUUGAUCUUAUCAAGUUUCCGCGUCAUUCAUUUGGCGUGGGUUCGAAUCCCACCCUUGUCA
rfam:Aspergillus sydowii CBS 593.65 ASPSYscaffold_13_Cont490, whole genome shotgun sequence.